GGGGCUGAUUCUGGAUUUGACGAAAUUUUCGAAAUCUAAGGUGCAUGUCGAGGUGCGGUAGGCCUCGUUAAUAAACCGCAAAAAAAAUAGUAGCAAACGAUAAAAAAUACGCUUUAGCAGCCUAAUAAGCUGUAGAGGCCCUUUCUACCUAAUUUUUCUCUUGAAAUAGGAAAAAGAAAGGUCAACUAGAGAGAUCGCACUAUUAAGCUUGCCUAAGAGGUUAAAAGUGUUAAAUUUCAUUUAGGAUAAUUUGAUAGAAGCGUGUCUAACCGCGUUUAUUAAAUAACAAAAAGAUAGACUAAACAUGUAGUACUCAAGACGUAGGACUUUCGGACGCGGGUUCAAAUCCCGCCAGCUCCACCA
rnacentral:tmRNA from 1 species